AACGCGAAGAACCUUACCUGGGCUCGAACGGCUUCGGACAAUCUUUGGAAACAGAGACUUCCCGCAAGGGACUGGAGUCGAGGUGCUGCAUGGCUGUCGUCAGCUCGUGUCGUGAGAUGUUGGGUUAAGUCCCGCAACGAGCGCAACCCUUGUCCUGUGUUGGCAUGCCGCAAGGCGCAACUCGCAGGAGACCGCCAGCGAUAAGUUGGAGGAAGGUGGGGAUGACGUCAAGUCAUCAUGGCCUUUAUGUCCAGGGCCACACACGUGCUACAAUGGGCGGUACAAAGCGCUGCCAACCCGCGAGGGGGAGCUAAUCGCCAAAAACCGUCCUCAGUUCGGAUUGCAGGCUGCAACUCGCCUGCAUGAAGCUGGAAUCGCUAGUAAUGCUAUAUCAGAACGAUAGCGUGAAUACGUUCCCGGGCCUUGUA
rnacentral:rRNA from 1 species